UUAAGAAUCUUGCGCAAUGGGAGCAAUCCUGACGCAGCGACGCCGCGUGAAUGAUGAAGGCCUUCGGGUUGUAAAGUUCGAUAAGCAGGGAAGAAUAAGCGCCGGGUAAUAUUCGGCGUGAUGACGGUACCUGCCUAAAGCCCCGGCUAACUACGUGCCAGCAGCCGCGGUAAUACGUAUGGGGCAAGCGUUGUUCGGAAUCACUGGGCUUAAAGCGCGUGUAGGCGGCCGAGUAAGUGUUGUGUGAAAGCCCGCGGCUCAACCGCGGAACGGCACGGCAAACUGCUCGGCUUGAGGUCGGUAGAGGUGCCUGGAACUCUAGGUGGAGCGGUGAAAUGCGUAGAUAUCUAGAGGAACGCCAGUGGCGAAGGCGGCUCUCUGGCCUAGGACUGACGCUGAAGCGCGAAAGCGUGGGGAGCGAACA
rnacentral:rRNA from 1 species